AACGCACCUUGCGCUCCUUGGUAUUCCGAGGAGCAUGCCUGUUUGAGUGUCAUGGAAUUCUCAACCAUGCCUUGAUCGAUUUCGAGGCAUGGCUUGGACUUGGGGGUUGCUGGCGGCGAAAGCUGUCGGCUCUCCUGAAAUGCAUUAGCAAUGGUCGGCAAGUCUGACGUGCACGGCCUUGACGUGAUAAUGAUCGUCGUGGCUGGAGCGUCGGACGAGCGCAAAUACGUCCGUUUGCUUCCAAUCCUUGACUUUGGGACGUGUAGACUUUCGAGCGGAAAGCUUUAGCUACUAGUUGGUCGUGAGACUAACGAACGCGGGCCGCCUCCGGAGGUCAAAGGGUUCCCUCGUCUACUUUCACGACUUGACCUCAAAUCAGGUAGGACUACCCGCUGAACUUUA
rnacentral:misc_RNA from 1 species